UACGGGGGGGGCAAGCGUUGUUCGGAAUUACUGGGCGUAAAGGGUUUGUAGGUGGCCGGCUAAGUCAGACGUGAAAUCCCUCAGCUUAACUGGGGAACUGCGUCUGAAACUGAUCGGCUCGAGUGCAGGAGAGGAACGCGGAAUUCCCGGUGUAGUGGUGAAAUGCGUAGAUACCGGGAGGAACACCCGCGGCGAAGGCGGCCCGCUGGGCCAUCCCUGACGCUGAGGCGCGAAGGCCAGGGGAGCGAACGGG
rnacentral:rRNA from 1 species